UAGGGUAUCUUCGGCAAUGGGGGCAACCCUGACCGAGCAACGCCGCGUGAGUGAAGAAGGUUUUCGGAUCGUAAAGCUCUGUUGUAAGAGAAGAACGUGUGUGAGAGUGGAAAGUUCACACAGUGACGGUAACUUACCAGAAAGGGACGGCUAACUACGUGCCAGCAGCCGCGGUAAUACGUAGGUCCCGAGCGUUGUCCGGAUUUAUUGGGCGUAAAGCGAGCGCAGGCGGUUUAAUAAGUCUGAAGUUAAAGGCAGUGGCUUAACCAUUGUUCGCUUUGGGAACUGUUAAACUUGAGUGCAGAAGGGGAGAGUGGAAUUCCAUGUGUAGCGGUGAAAUGCGUAGAUAUAUGGAGGAACACCGGUGGCGAAAGCGGCUCUCUGGUCUGUAACUGACGCUGAGGCUCGAAAGCGUGGGGAGCAAACAGG
rnacentral:rRNA from 1 species